rnacentral:rRNA from 1 species
GGAGGAAAAGAAACUAACAAGGAUUCCCCUAGUAACGGCGAGUGAAGAGGGAAGAGCCCAAGAUUGAAAGCUGGCGCCUUCGGCGUCCGCAUUGUAAUCUCAAGAAGUGUUUUCCGCUUCGGACCAUGCCUAAGUCCCUUGGAAAAGGGCAUCAUAGAGGGUGAUAAUCCCGUUCAUGGCAUGGAGCGCCCGAAGCUUUGUGAUACACUUUCUAAGAGUCGAGUUGUUUGGGAAUGCAGCUCAAAAUGGGUGGUAAAUGCCAUCUAAGGCUAAAUAUUGGGGAGAGACCGAUAGCGAACAAGUACAGUGAUGGAAAGAUGAAAAGAACUUUGAAAAGAGAGUUAAACAGUACGUGAAAUUGCCAAAAGGGAAGGGUAGGAGGUCAGAGAUGCGUCUUGGGAUUCAGCCUUGCUUCUGCUUGGUGUUUUUCCCAAGUUUGCAGGCCAACGUCGGUUUUGGGCACUGGAGAAGGGUGGAAGGAAUGUGGCACCUCUCGGGGUGUGUUAUAGCCUUCUACUGGAUACAGCGACCGAGACCGAGGACAGCAGCGUACUCGCAAGAGCGGGCCUUCGGGCACCUUUACGCUUAGGGCGUUGGCAUAAUGGCCCUCUACCACC